CCUACGGGAGGCAGCAGUGAGGAAUAUUGGUCAAUGGACGAGAGUCUGAACCAGCCAAGUAGCGUGAAGGAUGACUGCCCUAUGGGUUGUAAACUUCUUUUAUAAAGGAAUAAAGUGAGGCACGUGUGCCUUUUUGUAUGUACUUUAUGAAUAAGGAUCGGCUAACUCCGUGCCAGCAGCCGCGGUAAUACGGAGGAUCCGAGAGUUAUCCGGAUUUAUUGGGUUUAAAGGGAGCGUAGAUGGGUUGUUAAGUCAGUUGUGAAAUUUUGCGGCUCAACCGUAAAAUUGCAAUUGAUACUGGCAGUCUUGAGUACAGUUGAGGUAGGCGGAAUUCGUGGUGUAGCGGUGAAAUGCUUAGAUAUCACGAAGAACUCCGAUUGCGAAGGCAGUUUACUAAACUGCCACUGACAUUGAUGCUCGAAAGUGUGGGUAUCAAACAGGAUUAGAUACCCGUGUAGUC
rnacentral:rRNA from 1 species